rnacentral:lncRNA from 1 species
GUGGCUUCUGGGCGUCAUGUCAGCCGUCGAGGCAAGGGCGCCGUCGUCUCGGGCUCUCGGUGGCGCAGUGGGUGCUCGUCGCGGACAACUCAAGCGCCUGCGUCCCGGUGCGGCCGUGGCAUCCGCGUGGCCGUCCGCGGUCGCGAGUCCGCACGACGCCGCGGUCGCGGAGGACGCCGGGGCCUCGGUGGCGUCCAGGCUUGACGUGAAGGCGUUGUCGCGGCGCCGGUCAUGGAGGACAAGGCGGAGGGCGGCGGCGCUGGGUGGAGGGAACAGAGGACUGCGGCGGCGCCACUAGGGAAGAGCUCGAGGGCGUGGCGGCGGCUGGGCUCUUUAUAGGCGUCGAGGCUAGGGCUUCAGAGUGGAGGCGUUCAUCCUCGGCGUCCGUGUCCGCAGCGGGACACGCGGCGGGAAUCCUGGGCUGGCGCGGACAGGGACAGGAGGGGCGCUGGCGCUCGUGGCCUUUCCACCGAGCGGUGGCGGUGGCGGCUCUACCUGGGAGCGGCGCGGUUCCUAGGGUUGGGGAGAAGGGGGCGCUGCCUCCCUCAUGGGCCACGGCCUGGGCCUUGGCGACUUGGGCCGUAGGUGAAGGGGGACGAGUGAGCUGGGGGCAAGACGCGCUGGCGGGCCGUGGUGCUGCGUCGCUGGGCCUUGCGCGCGAAAGGGCCAAGCAUGGAGGAGGGAGGGCGCUGGUCGCGUGGGCCAAAGGGAGAAAAGAAAAGAAAAAAAAGGGUAGGAGGGGAGUAGGAAAUGGAUUUUGGCCCGAAAGAGAAGGAUUUUCCAUUUACGAACUUGACUCAAGGGCUUUGAGAGAGAAAUUUAAAAAGGGGAAAGAAUCGAGGGGGAUUCGAGAGAGAACUCAAAAAGAGAUUAAGAUGAGUUGCCAUGAAUUCAAGAUGGAUUUAGCGGUAGGGAUUUAGAGAGGAGGUCGACAAGAGAAAAGGUUUGAGAAGGGAAUUUCGGGGAGAGUUCGGAAAGAAUUCAAGGAAGUUGAGAAGGGAUUCGCUUCGCCUUUGAGAUAGGCUCAAAGAAAAUUUGAGAAGACUUCGCUAGGGAUUUAUGCACUCCAAAAGAAACUCAAAACCCUAAACAAGACCCAACUUAAGACGACUCACGAACAAAAUCACUCGCCUACAAACAAAUCUACAUGUAUGCCACGAUUUGUUAGCGGGUUAGGAUCGAGUUAGACCUGAAAACUAUAUGCUUCACACGGUUACAUGAAAAAUUUUAAAAAGCUCGUAUUUUUGGUUUUUUUUUUUGUAAAAAUCCGGGAUGUUACAGUCCACCCACCUUACAGGAAUCUCGUCCCCGAGAUUUAGGCGUUGCUCGGUCGGUGAAGAGACGAGGGUGUCGUUCUCAAAGCCUUUCUUACUUCUGAGUUGUUUCACUUUCAAUGUGAUCGCUCCACAAACUUUUUCCAAAAUGGGAGUGACUCUUGUUCCAAGUGUAUGCAAGGCUCACUUGCAGUCGUUGGGCAUCCAAAUUUUCACAUCAGGGCGAUGGGUGUCCAAGAAUCGCACGGGGUUGAUGAACAUCUGGCUCUCAAAGAGUGCAUGGCAGGCUUAAACGUAGCUAGGGUUGUUGGCUUUCAAUAGCUGUUUUUCGUGCAUCACUCUUUGCAAAAAGCUUUUGAAAGGAAUGUUUUUCGGAAAAACAGGUUUCAUAAAUGGAGUGAAAGCGAUUUUACAAAGUCAAAUGGAUUUUAAAGAGAGCUCAAACUGAAAAUAGCUUAUGGAAAGGGUUGAAAUCAGCGCAAAUUUUGAAAACCAAGUUUAUUUAUUUUAUUAUAAUUAUUAUUUUAAGAUUUUUGAUGUAAAAGAUUUCAAAUCAAGAGACUUUGAAACUCUUUUAGUUUUCUAGAUGAGGCGUUGCUCUCUUUUAUUUGAACUAAACAAACUAGUUUUGAAAAUGAUUAGAAAUCAUUUCUCUCUUUUGAAAGAUAAAGCUUUAACAACAAUAACAUUUUCUUUCAAAACUUGUAAGUUCAUUUUGUUUUUGCUAAUUUUUUUUUUGGAAGGCCGCAAACAAAAUUCUUUUCGCAAUGGUUUUUGUUUAAUAAAACACUGAAAAUUCCUUUUUCUUUUAGGACAAGGUGGAUUUUUAAAAGGAAUUUGGCUCUCGAGAUAAAAUCAAAGGUCUUUACAACAAAACUGAGCCAAAGAUCUUUGAUCUAAAAACCAUUUUGUUGAUGAAAAAGCAAGACUUUUGUUUUUCAGAAGAUGGUUGGUAACACCUUUUGAAAGAUAACUUAUUUUUAAAUAGUUUCAUAAAUAGAGUUUGGAUAAAAUUGAGUUGAGAAAAGGGUUAAAAUGGCUCUCUUUGUGAAAAUGAAAGAUAUUAAGAGAGUUUUGAAACACUUUUCCUUUUGAAACAAGGAUGCUUUUGUUAGAGAGGGGACAUUUUAACCAAAAGGAGAGAAAAUUUUGAAGACAGGUUCAUUUUGGAAGCCAAAAACAGUUUUGAAAUAGGCGAGCAUCACAUGAUGCAACAGCUUUACCUAACUUUUAACUUUGUUAGUCAGGGCCACCUAUCUAGUCUCGGGACGGUCUUAGGUUUAGCCGACUAGGUUGGACGGAAUCCAGAGUUUUUCUCGCAUAAAACAGGUUCUAUGACUUACACCCAGACAACAAGAAGCAGAAGAAACGCAACAACAUAAGAUCCAAGCACUCAAACAGCAUUACAACUCCUAAUGCAUAGUGUUGACUUGAGGCGACUCACAGACCUUCAAAGUCUCACACAACUAUCGAUCUAGCGUGGGCGGGUAUGGGAAAAGAUUCCAACGGUCAACUUUAUGAAACAGGGAGGUCAGUUAGCAGCAGAAUUCAAGGCGGAGGGGGGAAAACAAGUGUUAGCAUCUAUAACUCUACAAAAGAUAGAAUGUUUGGCUUCUAAACUAGUGUUUGGUCCUAAAGGUCUCGUCCUAGGGUCAAGUAUGGCUCUGAUACCAACUGAAACGACCUAGAUUUUUCCACAAAGGGGAAAAAUCCUCAGAUUCGAAUUAUAAUGUGAUAAUUCAGAUAUUGAGCCAUCACAUUAUCAUAUAUCAGCUGUUAUCGCAGUCAUACAUCGUGAAAAAGAAGAUUACAUCACAUUUACUUUACAACUCUUAGUUAACAAGCCUAUUACAUCGUUUUACUAGCGGAAACACACACGAAUCUUUUUCAGAGUCGAUGUAGCGCGUCAGCAGUGAGGGCUCCUCCUUCACGGGCAAUCAUCAGAGUCGGCGUAGUUUAUCAGCGGGCGUAGCCUUCAUCUCCGAACCAAACUUGAGCGCAGGAACGAGACCACCUAAUCCUUCUAUUCUCCGUAGUUAUCAUCAUAGACCACAUCCAAAACCUGCUAAACAAUUUUCAGUACGAUUUGUACUGGCCACUGGCUCCCACCCUAUGCUUUUGCUUAAGCUUUGUGGUAAGUGGAAUGCAAAGGGUAGAUCAAGAGGCCUAUAUAUAUGGCUGUAGUCUUUCCUAUGCAAGUUCAUCAAUAUUUAAUAAUAAUAUUUCAUCAAGUUUUAUUCCAUCUCAUCCACACAUCCAUCCAUCCAUCCCAUCACACACAUCUCACCACACUCUCACUCUCUAGGCGGCAAGUACGACUCCCGCUCGUGCCUUGCCUCAACGGCCAACGCCGGAUCCAACACAAACCCAGGGGAAGGUAGAAAGGACUCCUCUCACUAGUCAAGCGAAGCGGAACAUAGGAAAGGUCCAUAGCCGAGAAGACGGCAUAUGUAUCGAUCGAUCAACCAAACUCUGCAGAGGUUUACACUAACCACAAGAUCACCAUCAUCGACGAACCGGCUCGUCUAGGCUGAUACCGGGCUGCCUUCCAACUAAAUACGAUGCCACCCUACCACUCAGGACUGGGGCCAUACCGGAGUACCACCGGCAUGCUGAGACUGUGAGGCGUAGUACCGGGCCCCCAAGGGUCACUACGCUGUCUUAGGAGGGUGUGGGUCCUCAUGCCCGUACCUCCCUACACUAUCCGCUAUCAACCUAGUAGUAGUGGCACCGCACUAGCUGGUCGUACAUCCGUCCCGCACCAUAAUAAGGCGAGUGGCGUGUAAGGCUUCCUACGAACCGGUUCUCAGAACAUCUCAGUCCUUAGGGUAACCGAACAGGACAUCUUCACGAGGGGCCAGCCGAUGCCCCUCUCGACGGGACACCCGGCUACCCCGUGCUAAACAGCACCUCCCAUCCCGGUGCUUCGUCCCACGAAGACACUCCACUCCGGGACCUCUCCCUGUCACAUGUACCCGCCACAGGUAUCUCUCAUGGAGAACGCCCAGGUAGCGUUCCCCGGCAAGACUUGUCCCAAGACUCGUCGUAAAUCCUGCUCGGUCGACUCAACCCUCACCACACACCCAAGACACACGCCAAGAUCUCCCCAUAUCCAUUAUCCAUUUCUUAACCAGUUAUCGGCACACGUGCCUUAUCCACUCACAUCCAAUCCUCCACAAUGCAUCACAUCACAGAUAUAAUGCGUAGUAGAAGCAGUAGCAAGUAGUAUGCAAGCAUCUAACCUAACAGCGGGUGUGCGAGGGUUAUAGGUUGCAACAAGGCAAUGGCUCACAAGCAUUUCUACCAUGCAACCUAUCAUAGUUCAUUUGCAUAAAAGUAAAGCACUAGCAUCUAUAAUAUUGCAUGUCUAAUAGGAUUCUACGAGGUUGGGUGGGACGUGGCACCUGUCGAGUGACAUUUCCAGGAUCCUCAGUUCACUUGUAGUUGUACUCAUCCAAGGUCUUUCUCCUAUCUGCAUGUCCUUCCUUCGACUGGUUCCGAUUCGAUCAUCGCUAACCGAAGCAACUACCUCGUAAACGACAAUCAAGGCGAAACAAUCAAACCACUAGACCUAGAAAGAUCAUGAUAAGAGGCGACAAAACACUGAAGAACAACUACACUAAAAGAGCACCGAAAGGAAAACAACUUAGCCCUCUCGGCGGAUGUCCGAUCCCUGGGCUAAAAGAAACGGGAAUGGUUGUUCACUAAGUACAAGCCAGAGUCUUAGCCUAGCCGGUACUUCCCGGGUUAACUGAGUCAACCUGUACGGCUUUAUUAAAUGGCUUAGACUCUAACUCAUUCUAAGCAAACACCACAACUUACAGUCUUUCGAUCCAAGUGUCAUAGAGAUCGACAGGAAUCGAAAAGGCUAUGAGCACGGGAAGUUCCGGUCUCUCUCAAUCCAUACGCCAUUGUAGUUGGCGAGAGCCAAGAGAGGGUGGAACAAGGAGAGAAGAAAAAGGGAAGUGGUCUACUCCUUCCAAUCCACUUGCCAUGGUAAUAGACGGGGUAAUCAGAAAGAGUGACAUACAAGAACACGAGUGCUCAAACUACUUGUAGGGUACCACAACCUAGGUACACUGAAUGCACUAAGACAUCCCUAGGGUUCUUAGCAGUGCGGUUGUCACCACGAGAACCAAAGAAAUGCUACGGUCGAAUAGGUACAAGCAUACAAGAGUUUAAACACAAAGAACCAAAAAGGCGGGAAAAGACACGGGUUUCACUUCCUAUUGAUCCACUUGCCAUAGCAACAGCGGGAAUCGUAGAAAUGGAAUCAAAACACCAAACAAACAAAAGGGCUCAAUCCACAUAUUACUGGAUCUACAGGGAUUGAGAACAAGAGAGAAGAGGAAUGGAGUCCAUACUGUUUCGACCAACUCAUCAUGGAAUGAACGACGGUUGGAUGAAAGAGAUACGACCCCACGAUCCAACCCUACUCGUAGGGUACCACGACUGUGCAUCUAAUCAGCACACGGCUAUUCCUAAGGCCCGUAGCGAUGCGGUUGUCACCGCUAGGUCCGAGGGAAUGCUAUAGUCGAAGUGGUGCAAGCAUACGAGGUGGUUAGGAUAAACACGCGAGAAAUGGGGUAAAGCCGGAUGGUCAUGGCAAGGUGGACUUGCGACCAUUAGCUUCACCCAACGAGUUGGCUUCUGACUGUUCUACAAGGGUUGCUCCUAAUCUGUAUCCCACUAGACUAGAUCACAGAGAACUCGAAGGUGCGGGUAAGAACCGCGUCGUUAUGAAUAUCGAGUCCGCAAAGAUCAAACCCCAGGGACGAGGAUAGGAGCUAACAAGCGUAGCGUGACGAAGUCAACUAAACACGGGGAGACGAGUUACGCUCGGCAUCGCGAUCACGGCGGGACGAACCCACGAUCGAAAUGAUCAAACGCACUACCACUUCCCCGACCGGCUCGAAGGCUCAGUCCUCAGGCAAAUAACAAAAGAAAGAACGACGACAACCCGAGAAGGGAUAUGCUUGGCACUACGACCAUGGCGAGACAACUCGCGAUCGCAACAUUCAAACACAUCACUCUCUCAACCGGCUCGAAGGCACGGUUCACAACCAACCAACCACAUGACACAAGAACCAACGCACAAAGAACCACAAUGCCGCGACCAACACAAAGACAAAGUAGAGUAGCACAUUUCCAUAGCGACCAACAGAGAUAGAUAAACGGAUAGAUAAACAGACCGGCACGAAGGCACGGCACAGGCAUAGAAUAAAUAAUUCAUGUAUCGACAAGUAUAGAUAGAUGGAUAAAGAUGAAUCAUAUAGCAAGUGUAUGAAAGCAGAAUAGGGUUUUUGUUGGCAUCGGGAAUGACGCCAACUAGGGUUCGGGGCUCGACCUUGGAGCCGAUGGGCUGUGGUAGCAGCUGUUGUUCUUCGGAUGCAGCGAAGUGGUGGUCAUGCUUGGUCGCGCGGCUUCGUCAUUGGCCGGUGCUCGGCAAGGUGUUGCAAAGGCGAUCAGCGGUGCUGCGAGGUUCCACUCAUGGUAGCUCUAGCGUUGCGGCUUCCAUGGGAAGGUGCAGCAGGUCCGAGGCCUCCCUGUGACAGUGGUUGAACACGGCACCCAGGCCGACUGUUAGCCAAGAACCACGGUAUGGUCUUCAGAACGGAAAGAAAGGUAUGGCCUUGGCUUGAGAGCUCACCGAUGACAGAGAAGGGCUUGGCGAGGACGAGGCGAGCACGGCACUGACGAGGGGAACUGGUGGGGGCGCUGCUCGACGUCGUGGCCGCAGGGGUGGUGCUUGGCGCUCGGGUUCGCGGUCACCACGGGGUUGCUGGGUCACGACCAGCGCUGCGGACGACGGUGUCGUGGAGGAGGGCUCGGAGCAGAACUCGGUGAGGACGCAGCGUCGCGGGGUCGGGGCUCCUGCUCGGCGAGGGCGCGGAGAUCCUACUCGACGUCGAGGUAGAGGCGCGGCUUGACGGCGGCGGGUGCGCGGGGUGGUGCCGAGGACGAGGCGUGUCGCGGACACGGCGUCGCGACGGCGGUGCGCGGGGACAGGGCUCGGCGCGGCGGGGCGUCCGCGCGGCCGGCCAGGUCGGAGACGCGGACACGGAGAGGCUCCGUGCUCGCGGUGCUGGCCGAAGACGGGGCUCGGGGAAGAGCUCGCGGUUGUGCGUCGUGACGCGGCCACGGCGAGGUUGGUGUCGCAGCCUCGGCCCUUGGCGAAGGACCUCGACGUCGGGGUCGCGGGUGCGGCUCGGCGGUGCUCGGCGGCGUCGUGGCCCGGGGCGGGGUUGACGCGAGGGCGCGGAGCUCCUGAUGGGGCGCCGAGGUCCUGGCCGCGGCCGAGGCUCGUAAAGACGAGGUCGUCGCGGGGCACCGAGGCGGCUCGGCAGUGCUGUGGCGCCCGCGCGGCCAGCCGUGGUCGAAGCUCGACGCGGCGAGGGCAGCGUCGCGGCUGGCCACGGCUCGGCGAAGGUGGCUUCUGGGCGUCAUGUCAGCCGUCGAGGCAAGGGCGCCGUCGUCUCGGGCUCUCGGUGGCGCAGUGGGUGCUUGUCGCGGACAACUCAAGCGCCUGCGUCCCGGUGCGGCCGUGGCAUCCGCGUGGCCGUCCGCGGUCGCGAGUCCGCACGACGCCGCGGUCGCGGAGGACGCCGGGGCCUCGGUGGCGUCCAGGCUUGACGUGAAGGCGUUGUCGCGGCGCCGGUCAUGGAGGACAAGGCGGAGGGCGGUGGCGCUGGGUGGAGGGAACAGAGGACUGCGGCGGCGCCACUAGGGAAGAGCUCGAGGGCGUGGCGGCGGCUGGGCUCUUUAUAGGCGUCGAGGCUAGGGCUUCAGAGUGGAGGCGUUCAUCCUCGGCGUCCGUGUCCGCAGCGGGACACGCGGCGGGAAUCCUGGGCUGGCGCGGACAGGGACAGGAGGGGCGCUGGCGCUCGUGGCCUUUCCACCGAGCGGCGGCGGUGGCGGCUCUACCUGGGAGCGGCGCGGUUCCUAGGGUUGGGGAGAAGGGGGCGCUGCCUCCCUCAUGGGCCACGGCCUGGGCCUUGGCGACUUGGGCCGUAGGUGAAGGGGGACGAGUGAGCUGGGGGCAAGACGCGCUGGCGGGCCGUGGUGCUGCGUCGCUGGGCCUUGCGCGCGAAAGGGCCAAGCAUGGAGGAGGGAGGGCGCUGGUCGCGUGGGCCAAAGGGAGAAAAGAAAAGAAAAAAAAAGGGUAGGAGGGGAGUAGGAAAUGGAUUUUGGCCCGAAAGAGAAGGAUUUUCCAUUUACGAACUUGACUCAAGGGCUUUGAGAGAGAAAUUUAAAAAGGGGAAAGAAUCGAGGGGGAUUCGAGAGAGAACUCGAAAAGAGAUUAAGAUGAGUUGCCAUGAAUUCAAGAUGGAUUUAGCGGUAGGGAUUUAGAGAGGAGGUCGACAAGAGAAAAGGUUUGAGAAGGGAAUUUCGGGGAGAGUUCGGAAAGAAUUCAAGGAAGUUGAGAAGGGAUUCGCUUCGCCUUUGAGAUAGGCUCAAAGAAAAUUUGAGAAGACUUCGCUAGGGAUUUAUGCACUCCAAAAGAAACUCAAAACCCUAAACAAGACCCAACUUAAGACGACUCACGAACAAAAUCACUCGCCUACAAACAAAUCUACAUGUAUGCCACGAUUUGUUAGCGGGUUAGGAUCGAGUUAGACCUGAAAACUAUAUGCUUCACACGGUUACAUGAAAAAUUUUAAAAAGCUCGUAUUUUUGGUUUUUUUUUUGUAAAAAUCCGGGAUGUUACACUACCCGUCCUGCUAACAAGAUGUGGGCUGCAAAGGUAACUCGGAAAUGUCACGUUCCUCGCUACUAUCACGGUCCAGCUAGUCAGGGGAUAUCUAUGAGUACCCUAGCCCAAACACCACGUUUACGCUAGCAGUGAUUACUCUAAUACUCAACCGGAAGAGAUUAAAGUAAACUCAUAAACCAAAGAACAAUAAAACAAGAACUUACUAGAAUUAGAAGUCGAAUUACUGAAGAAUCCUAGGAGCAAGCUUCGGGUUAGGAGAACUUGAUCCCGAAGGUACAACCUCGGAGUAGACACCGAC